rnacentral:tmRNA from 1 species
GGGGGCGAUCGGCUUCGACGUGGGGACCGAAGGUUCAUCUGCGUGCUGGCGGCUCCUGCUCCGCCUACCAAGCGGGACGUUAUACGUGCGAACGACAACGCAUACGCUCUCGCGGCCUAAAAACCGACGAUAGCCGUCCGACGGAGAGAUCGUCCUGGUAUCCGAAGGGUGUCAACUACAAGGGCUGGACCAAGCGAGGACGCCCUCGAUAGCGCGGUCGAGAUCAGCGAGGGAUAGGUCGCGGCCGAAUCCGCGGACCCAGUCGCAGGGGAUACGGCGACUACGCACGUGAACGAAGGUGAACUGUAGGCCUUGCGGACCCGGGUUCGAUUCCCGGCGCCUCCACAA